ACCGCCCCCUACACACUAUCCCUACACUACCCCUCCGUUUGUGCGUUCCCACGGAGGGUCCUCCAUAUUAAGGGCCGUCCCAAACCGCGUAGUGUGGAGGGGGAGUGGACUGUUCAGCCCUUAAAUAGCGAGUCUGCAUCGAUGCUCACUCUGGACAACUUUUUCAGGAAGUGCAACGUCGAAAUGGAGGAGGAAACAACAUAUUGAUGCUCUGAGAGAAUGGGCUGCAAUCGAAAGCGACUGUGCAGCAUACAAAGACACAAAGCAAAUACUGAAGUGUAGCAAGACUGCAAAGGCCCUGGAAUUCCUGAACUGAUCAAAACUCAGAUAAGCUGUCCCUCUCUUCAGCUCUGACCAACACCCAUCUCUAUAGGAGGAUUGAGACAUUUGUAUUUCUGUAGGUUUUCAUUCACAGAAGGAUGGAGCUCCUGUGAACAUUUAAACCCCUGGAAUAACUUCUUCUUUUUAAAAGACAAUGACUUUCAAUUAUAUGCUAUGGAUGUUUGUUUAAUGAAUUUUCAUGCUAAAAUCCCUUGUCAGCUUUAGGAGACCCUCAGCCGGAGACGUCUCUGCAUUCCACAGCUCAGAUAACAAGUCGUAAAACUUUAUGGCAGAAGGCUGGAACAGAGAGAGACACACUCUUUAACUGAAGAGACUAAUUACUUCAAAGUUCAUAUUUCUAAAAUUUAUUUUGCUCUUUCCUGAUUACCAAAGUUAUAGUGAGAUUAUGUUGUACAUCAUAUCCGAAUUUGAUAGUUAUAUCUGUUACAGAAGUCGAUUUAUUAAUUUGUGAUGUUUAAUCAUUUCUUCCCCAGGAUACUAUGAUUUUGGACUGAAUUCCCUUAUUAAUCUCUGAAUUUCCUCUCCAUUUAGGUUGAAUGAUGGCCAUUGUAUUUACCUGUUACCAAAUCUCUGACUUGUUGUUAUAUUUUCACUGUGAUGCAUAUUUUUAAUGUCAUAAACAUAAACAUAUAGUUAUGAAUGAAAUGAUUCACAUCAUAUGAACAUAUGUAUUAAUCUACACAUUUAGGAACAUGCCUGUCUCUUUCACACAACUGAAAUAUGGUGGAGAGAUAGACAGAUCGCGUUUUAAUCAUUUAAUAUCCCAAUGUUUUAAUUCCCUCUGGAGUAGUUUUCCAUCUCUCCUCUUUGAGACAAAGGAAGGGGUCAUGUUACCACCCAGAGAUUCACGCCGAAGCUUCCCUCCGCCUUGGGGUCCUCCCAUGGUCCCUUUGGCCUGAUAUAAGCCUAAGCAGCCCCCACCUUCGCUCUCUUGCUAUCUUAGCCUUCUUGUCUCUUACCGACCUACUCUCUUACCCCUCUCUUACUCUUCUUCACUACCUGAGGAAUCUAUAACAGAGAUUCCCACUAUUUUCUUACCUAAAGCGCGUUUUUCCUAUCUUUGAAAUUCCCUCACCAUCUAAGUUUGUUAACUAUUUAUCUCUUAAUAUUUUUGUAACUUAAGGAGACAUUUUGCUCGUUAUUCGUUUUAAUCUGAAGAACCGAUUCAGAACCAGCAUUUAUUUUUCUUAAUUUUGACAAUUUUUCAUCAACACCCGUUUUUCUUGGCUAAAGCCUGAGAACCAUCAUUUUUAAACCAAGCAACACUCAGCUGAGAACUCCGGAGGCCUGCUGGAUCAGGUCUUUGCAUAGAACCGAUCAACCCGCGGCAGGACAUCCAGGCGGCCAUAACGACGACGCACCGCUCCGAACCUGCAAGUCCAGACGGUUGUGCUGCGAAUCUGAAGGCCCCGCAAGUCCCAGCCCCAUGACGGUUCACUUCAAUAACUCCAGCUGAGUUUGCUCUGAUUCCAUUCUAUGGGUGAUGUACUAACCGCUGGGUCAAUUAAUUCAUUUAAUCAAUUUAUUCUUUUACAAAUCAUGAGAAUUCUUAAUCCAAAUUACCGGUUACCUCGUCAGGUUAGCUCUGGCUAAUCCUCACCAUAUUUCCUUCUCUCUCACACAUACUUCCACAUCUCUCACACACGCACACACCACACACACACCCCCACAUUCCACACAUGCACGCACACACACACACACACACACACACACACACACACACACACACACACACACACACACACACACACA